rnacentral:rRNA from 1 species
AUGGAGGUCGAGAUCAAGCUCCGUCUCCCCGACGCGGCUGCACACCGGCGCCUCUCCUCCUUCCUCGCGCCCCGCCUGCUCCGCACCGACGCCCCAGCGCGGCCCCUCGCCGCCGCCGCCGCCACCGCCGCCCAGCGGGACGUCCGCCUCUACGGCACCGACGACCGCGACCCCUCCCGCGCCGUCCUCACGCUCAAGCGCCGCCCGCGCAUCGACGCCGACGUCAGCCGCGUUGAGGAGGUCGUGGAGCCCCUCGACCCUGCCCUCGCCCUCACCUGCGUCGACAACCCCGCCCGUCUCGGUGCGGUCGACUCCCCCAUCGUCCGGCUCGUCUCCGACGAGUACGGCGUCGGCGGGGACAAAGCACCGUUCGUCUGCCUCGGCGGCUUCCGGAACACCCGCGGUGUGUAUGAGCUCGAGGAGGGCGAGGGGCUUGGGCUCGUGCUAGAGCUCGACGAGACACACUUCGAUUUCGGCACAAACUACGAGCUGGAGUGCGAGACCACGGAGCCCGACCAGGCGAAGGAGGUCCUGGACCGGCUGCUCACCGUGGCUGGGGUGCCGUAUGAGUACUCCCGGAGCAAUAAGUUCGCGUGCUUCAUGGCCGAGAAGCUGCUUCCGUGA